ensembl:lncRNA
CCACGAUAUAGUUAAAUGAAAACACUUGUUAUUUGAUUUACUUUGAAAACUCAGAUACACUUAGCGGGAGACGUCUGAGUUUUCUUACAUUAUUGUCAUGCUCAACUCUAUUACAUGGUAAAAAUUGUAGCACUUUCAGGAAGUCUAUUAUUGUACAUAGGUAAAUGAUAAAAUCUAUUCAAUGGAAUAAAACCCAGAAAAACUUAAACUGCAAGAAAAAGAAUCUGGAUUAUCUAUUCAGUUAUGAGUACCCACAGCUAUUUUGGUAUUAUGAAAUAGCCAAGCAUGGUUACUCUUGUAUUCAUGUACUCAGAAACUUUGUGGUCCACUAAUAAAUGUAUUGGUGGAAUACAAAAUAUGGAAAUAGAUUACUAAAUAGAAUGAUCAUGGAAGUAAGAAAUUGUACACAUUCAAAAUGACAAAUUUCACAGAAUCAAAUUCAUUAAAAUACGUUUUAGUAUUUUGCAAACUCUUUAAAAUCAUACACAAGAAACACUGUGACAAACAGGUUAAAGCUAGAGGGACAACAUCAAGUCCUCCACACCACUUCAGCGUUGUAUACAUUGCUCAGUGGAUGGUAUAUAGGAAAGCAUUAAACACGAGUAAUAAAUAACCUCUUGCUACAAUUAACGAGACUAAAAUCUUUAAAUCCAACAUGUUUGCAGGAUCUAGGUAAGCAUACAGGGUGUGUCAGGGACAGGGGAAUCAGUACCGCUUUUACUAAGUGAAUAUUCAAGCUAACACUGGUUUGGAAUUUGACCCAUCUCACUUCCUAAUUCAUUGCAUUUUCUUUACAGUAUUUGUUAGAUUCUUAAAUGAAACCUAGUGUUAGUGCUAAGACGUCUGCCAGAGUUGUUUUUAUUUAUUUAUUUUGUUUGUUUGUUUGCUUGCUUUUCUUGUCCAGUAAAUGCAGAGUCUGUUUACCUCUAAGACACCCUCCCUGCAUGUGCCUAUUUGAUAGCAGAGAGUUGCAGUUUAACAGGAUGCUUUAACCAGGUGAUAGGUGAACAGCAACAAGAGGAGCCCAAAGCAAGAGCACUCAGCCUGCUGGCAUGUGCCUUUGGUGUCAUGUAAUAAACUUGGCACUAUUCAGGGCUGGACAGGUGGCUCAACAGUUAAGAGCACUUGCUGUUCUUGCAGAGGACCCUAAUCCAGUUCCCAGGACUCACAUGGGGCCUCAAAAACAUUUUUAGCUCCAAUUCCCGGGGACUGUUUUGGCCUCUGAGGCCCACACAUGGUCACAGACAUACACACAAAGGACUCAUACACAUUAAAUGGGAAUAAAUCUGUACAAUAACAAGAAAAGAAUAAAACUAUUCCUAACAGAAACCCAAAACUCCUACCAGCAUGAGAAAACUAGACAAACCCCAGCGGAGCUAUGUUCUGCACAAACUGUCAAGGUUCUAGAAAGUCACAGCUGAAAGGAGCCUGAGGAGAGGUGACAACAAAUGGUCAUGUGAUUACAGGAGGGAGGGGCAGAGAGAAGAUAUUAACUGAAGCCUCUGGAUAUUGGAGUGGAAUACAGACUCAAGGAGUCAACAACAUUACUCUUUAAUCGCGACUAAUGGCUUCCCGGAGGUGCAGACCACACGAGGUCAUUCUGUACUAUUUUUGUGGUUUUUUUAUAACACUGAAAAUAUUCUAAAAUUCAAUGCAACUUUUAGUGAACACAUAGCCACUAUCAUCACAGAUUCAUGAUAGAAUUGACCAAAUCACACUAAUAUUAAAAAGAUGUUUUUGUAAUGGUGCUGUAUGAAGUUACAUUUCUCUCUAUCGCCCACUCACAUACUUUGUAUAUUGGUAACUAACUUGACUUUAUAUUAUUCCUGUCACUGGGAAUCUUGAUUUUAUUUCCUAUGUCUCCAUCUUUAGUGUGUGUGUGUGUGUGUGUGUGUGUGUGUUAUGUUUCAAAUAAUAAGCAAAUGAAGUAAAGAGCACAAGAAAAGUUUGUGGGUAAUAAAUGAGAACAAGAUAUGACAUAACAUGUGUAUGAAAAUGUCAUAAUGAAACCCUUUUUUGUAUGGUAACCUAAAAAGCUAAAGGAAAAAUUUGGGGGAAAGCACAUUAAAAUGACAUUGACUACAGCCCUUCCUAAAAAUUGUGGCCUGAAGAACUGUGAUAAAUUACCACAAAUUGUUCCCAGGGCCACCCCAUAGUUAAUAUUCUUCAUUUUCAGGUGAAGAGACAGAUUCAGAAAGGAUAAUGGCUUUCCUACCAUCUCUGGUCAUAACGCCACUUGAGAUCAACUCAGGCAUUUCAAAGGAAAUGUGCCCAAACCUGAGGUGGUUUGUUUAAUUAUCGAUUUAAAACAUGCAGCUCUAACUAUUUAAAAAGCAGAAAUGCUGUAAAAAGGUGUAAAUCCACAGAAAAAUUUGCAACAGGAAACAUUUAGCACAAGAUAUAAGGGAAAUUGAAUUUCAGAUUAUACAUAUAACAUUAAGAUAUUACCUUUGGUUAUUAUUAUCAGUGUUUUCGGUAACUGCUUUCCCCAACUUGGAGCUUUUGCCACAAGAACUGAAUGAGUCCCUAGCCCCAUUUACCCGACUAAGGCAACACCCCGUUUCCUCAGUGUUUUCAUGAGAAUGAUGGUCUGGAAUGCUCACUUACACUGAUGGGAAAACAUGUCACUUAUGACAGUUUAGGACCAUAUCUGUAAGAGUAAUCUUUUUUGAAUGUACACAGAAAUCCAAGUUUGCUGUUGGAAGCCAAUGCUUCUCCAUGCACUGUGUGUUGUUGCACUGAUACUAUAAUCUCCCAGAUACACUCUAAAGUAAGGUUUGGGAUGUUUUAGUGGUAAAUGUUUGCAGUUGUGGCAAGUAAAAAAUUCCUAAAAUUAUUACACGUGGUAUACUCCUUUCUAAGGAUGGCAUUGUAUAUUGACCAGAAAUUUAAAACCAGAAAAGAAUAUUCAAAUAGAUGAAAAAAUGUACUUUUGAGAUCGGUCAUUGACUGGCAAUCUAAAUAGAGAGGCAAGCCAAUCUUUUGGCAUUCUUUCCUAUUUCAAAAUAAUAUGCUAAUAUAUAAGCUUAAAGUAUUCAAAAUUCAUGUCAUGGUGGGUUCUAGGUAUGUCUUCUAGGUGUUUAAAAACAAAUUGGUGGUUUUUUUUUAAAAAAAAAAACUUAUUUUCCUAUGGUUUAUUUUAAAU